GUACACUCCUGCGGGAGGCAGCAGUGGGGAAUUUUGGACAAUGGGCGAAAGCCUGAUCCAGCAAUGCCGCGUGAGUGAAGAAGGCCUUCGGGUUGUAAAGCUCUUUUGUCAGGGAAGAAACGGUGAAAGCUAAUAUCUUUUGCUAAUGACGGUACCUGAAGAAUAAGCACCGGCUAACUACGUGCCAGCAGCCGCGGUAAUACGUAGGGUGCAAGCGUUAAUCGGAAUUACUGGGCGUAAAGCGUGCGCAGGCGGUUUUGUAAGUCUGAUGUGAAAUCCCCGGGCUCAACCUGGGAAUUGCAUUGGAGACUGCAAGGCUAGAAUCUGGCAGAGGGGGGUAGAAUUCCACGUGUAGCAGUGAAAUGCGUAGAUAUGUGGAGGAACACCGAUGGCGAAGGCAGCCCCCUGGGUCAAGAUUGACGCUCAUGCACGAAAGCGUGGGGAGCAAACAGGAUUAGAAACCCCUGUAGUCCCAUGAU
rnacentral:rRNA from 1 species